rnacentral:rRNA from 1 species
AGCGAGGAGGAAGGGGUUGUGGUUAAUAACCGCAGUCAUUGACGUUACUCGCAGAAGAAGCACCGGCUAACUCCGUGCCAGCAGCCGCGGUAAUACGGAGGGUGCAAGCGUUAAUCGGAAUUACUGGGCGUAAAGCGCACGCAGGCGGUUUGUUAAGUC